GAUGGGGCGACGGUUUUUUUCCUCUAAUUGGGCCAUGCCUAUCUAAAGGCGAGACUCUGGCCUUCCGGUUUUCCAGAGAGAUCUGUAUGGUCAGGAUUUUUGUCUUUGAUGUCCCCCUUGGAACACUCCUGUUACUUCCUAGCUCCAUCUUGCCUUGUUUAAGACUAGCUGAUUUUCUAAGUUGAGAUGCCUUGUUUGCAAAGCUUUCAUGACUAGGUUGCAUUUUCUUUAUUCGUGCAAGGCUAGUCAAAUUAUUCAUAUGAGACACCUUGUUUGGAUCAUCUUUACUAAUCACUUUGCCUGUUUUAUUGGGAAGAGAUACCAUUCCGGGGGAACUGUUAUUUAACUUUUUG
rnacentral:misc_RNA from 1 species